rnacentral:rRNA from 1 species
CUACGGGCGGCUCCAGUGGGGAAUAUUGGACAAUGGGGGCAACCCUGAUCCAGCAAUGCCGCGUGUGUGAAGAAGGCCUGCGGGUUGUAAAGCACUUUCAAUAGGGAGGAAAAGCUUUGGGUUAAUACCCCGAAGUCUUGACGUUACCUUUAGAAGAAGCACCGGCUAACUCUGUGCCAGCAGCCGCGGUAAUACAGAGGGUGCGAGCGUUAAUCGGAAUUACUGGGCGUAAAGCGCGCGUAGGCGGUUUGAUAAGUCAGAUGUGAAAGCCCCGGGCUUAACCUGGGAACUGCAUUUGAUACUGUCAAACUAGAGUAUGGUAGAGGGUAGUAGAAUUCCUGGUGUAGCGGUGAAAUGCGUAGAUAUCAGGAGGAAUACCAGUGGCGAAGGCGGCUACCUGGACCAAUACUGACGCUGAGGUGCGAAAGCGUGGGGAGCAAACAGGAUUAGAUACCCGAGUAGUC